GCGUGGCUAGGGGGGGCGUGCGUCGAUUAGCAUGCUAGUUGUACGAGUUCAGACUCGUAGCAGAUAGCUCAGUAACACGUGGCCAAACUACCCUAUGGAUUCAGACAACCUCGGGAAACUGAGGCUAAUCUGGAAUAGGGCUCUCAUCCUGGAGUGGAGAGAGCCUGAAAUGCUCCGGCGCCAUAGGAUGUGGCUGCGGCCGAUUAGGUAGACGGUGGGGUAACGGCCCACCGUGCCAGUAAUCGGUACGGGUUGUGAGAGCAAGAGCCCGGAGACGGUAUCUGAGACAAGAUACCGGGCCCUACGGGGCGCAGCAGGCGCGAAACCUUUACACUGCACGCCAGUGCGAUAAGGGGACUCCAAGUGCGAGGGCAUAUAGUCCUCGCUUUUUGCGACCGUAAGGUGGUCGCGGAAUAAGUGCUGGGCAAGACCGGUGCCAGCCGCCGCGGUAAUACCGGCAGCACGAGUGAUGACCGCUGUUAUUGGGCCUAAAGCGUCCGUAGCUGGCCGCGCAAGUCUAUCGGGAAAUCUCUCCGCUUAACGGAGAGGCGUCCGGUGGAAACUGUGUGGCUUGGGACCGGAAGACCAGAGGGGUACGUCUGGGGUAGGAGUGAAAUCCCGUAAUCCUGGACGGACCACCGGUGGCGAAAGCGCCUCUGGAAGACGGAUCCGACGGUGAGGGACGAAAGCUCGGGUCACGAACCGGAUUAGAUACCCCGGGUAGUCCCGAGCUGUAAACGAUGUCUGCUAGGUGUGACACAAGCU
rnacentral:rRNA from 1 species